AUGAUGCUUCGUGAUGUAAAGAUGUUCUGUUUAAGUGGGAGCCGUGAAGGGCCUAAUCUGUGCAAUCUUAAGUUUCAGAAAUAUGGUAGUAGUCCAUAUAGAGUACAAGAGCUGACCAAUGUGGUGAGGAGUGGAAGGUGUAUGGAGUUUCAAUUAGAUUGGGUGGCCACCGGCGUCCAUGAGACUCCAGAGCAACAUGGCAGACUUGUUAAUGAAAGGGUGUUCCUUUAUCAUGUGCCCAACAAUCUUUGCACUGAUUCUUGCAAGGGAUCCUCGAGGAAGCUAAUGGUCGGCUUUUUCCUGAAGGGAUUGAGAUUACCAAGAUUCGGAUCAGAUCCCUGCUUUGUCAGCGCAGGAGAACUGCUCAAGCACGUAGGCACGGCGUGCCUGACGCGGAUUACACCCGAACUGCCCUCCUUUGACAUAAAAGGUACCCGAUUCCCUCGACAAAAAAUUGAUGCAUCUGAGGUUUUCAAUCUCGCCGACUUCGCUGGAGUGGCGUGCGCCCAUGCUCAAGUAGAGGAACUGGAUGGAGCAAGGUCCACAUGCCUUAAAUUUCUUAAAGAUCUCCCGCACUUGCUUAAUUUACCCAGUGGAGUAAACAAAAGCUGGGUCCAGUACUAUUGCAUGCCUAAUGCAGAACUUCUUUUAUGCACAACCCCAGUGCGGGAGUGUGAAUUGGUGAUCCCACUACAUUGGUUAACUGAGUGCAAUGGAAUUAGCACGGCGGCCAAGUUAAGGCGUAUUUCCAUGCCGGUGGGCCGAGCUCGACGGCAAUCCGGCACAGGCAGUGUCCACCAACAGCUCCUCUUCCAAGGACAAAGUGGGCCACGCACAACAGACCUGCAUGCAGAUUUUCCUUUUCAUGCUUCCUGCGAGCGCAGAAGUGCACUACCUUAUCACAGGGAGCCACAUAAUUGGAGGCCUCCGAUGUCAAUCAAUUAUGACAAUAUAAUAUGUGAGCAAAUUUUCACCGCCAAGCCAUACCAGCCUGCCCAUGCGCUACGGCCCAAUCAAUCCAGCCCACCUAUCCUUUUUUUGAAGCAAAAAUACACAUGUCGUCCAAUCUUCCACUUUUCAAUCCUUUUUGUGAUACAAAUAAAUACAUCUAUUCCAUCGAACAAGCCCUCCCAAGGAGAGGACCAGCGUCGUCCCCGGCCUCUGGCGACCGGCCGGCGAGCCCAACGCCGGAGCACCACCAACACCCGCAGCCCCCAGCGCCCAGCCUUCCUACACGCUCAAGAGCGGGAGACGAACGCCCGCUCGGGAGGAGAACCCGAGUGCGCCCGCGCCACCCUGAGCCGCCACCGGGGGAAGCUCCCGCCGCUCGCCGGCGACGAACAGCCGCUGGCGCUCGUCCCCGACCAACUCCGGUGCCCUGGCCUCACCGCCAAAGCUGGGAGCCAUCCCCACCGGCCGGAUCUGAUGCGCAGCCACCUCGCUGUUGCGCCGCCAUCACCCCUGCAACGGAUCAUCCCGCCCUCCACCUCUUUUUCGUCGGGGAGACGACGAACUCGUCCUCGAGCAUUGACCGCGCGCCCGCGUUCGUGGGCUGCAUCCACGGGCGAUCGAUCACCGCCUCAUCUUCAAAAAACAGGAGAAGUGCAAGAAAACGUCGCCCCAAACAAAUCGCAACUUGCCAGCCUCCGCAACAGCCGUCAGAACCAUGGCUCACGGACGCCUGCUCCGCGGAUCGGCGGAUCCUUCCCUGGUGCCAUGCUUCAGCGGCUUGUGCUGCUCGGUAUCCCUCGUCCAAAUAAUCGGAUUUUCACCGCCACCAUGCUUCGGAGGCUUGCUGUUGUUCUUGUCCUCUUUGCUGCUGUGCGCAAGCGCACCUACGCAUAUAUGGUUCUGGCCCAGGGAGCACAACUCUCUAACUCUUGCCCUUCUGUCGUUGAUCUAGAUAAGCAGCAGGAGUAUUUCAUAGAUCACGGACCCCAUGAGUCUGAUGGUCAGUACAUCCGUGUCCAUGUCGUCAAUGUGUUGCUCGCCGACCGUACUGUUCUCGAGAUCCGCCUUGAAGACGGUGGAUCGGGCCUUCAGCACACAUCGUUCGGAAGUGUUGACUACUUGAACAUGCUGGAAAGUGUUGACUACUUGGAGGUUAGUAACUUGCAAGUAACAGAUGUUUUGACAACAAUAACUGCUACCAAUGAGGACCACUGGCAAGAUAUAGCACAACAACCUGGUCCCUGUUCCGUAAAGGUUGGCCUGAUCCCUGUUGAAAUCAAUUUGGCGUGGACUUUGAUGUGGGAUGUAGCCAUGCUUAUUGGACUAGGCAUCUAA
rnacentral:rRNA from 1 species